rnacentral:rRNA from 1 species
CACUCAUCACCCUGUGACUUACCUAAACGUUGCUUCGGCGGGAAUAGACGGCCCUGUAAAACGGGCCGCCCCCGCCAGAGGACUCUUAACUCUGUUUCUUAUAAUGUUUCUUCUGAGUAAAACAAGCAAAUAAAUUAAAACUUUCAACAACGGAUCUCUUGGCUCUGGCAUCGAUGAAGAACGCAGCGAAAUGCGAUAAGUAAUGUGAAUUGCAGAAUUCAGUGAAUCAUCGAAUCUUUGAACGCACAUUGCGCCCGCCAGUAUUCUGGCGGGCAUGCCUGUUCGAGCGUCAUUACAACCCUCAGGCCCCCGGGCCUGGCGUUGGGGAUCGGCGGAGCGCCCCUCGUGGGCGCACGCCGUCCCCCAAAUACAGUGGCGGUCCCGCCGCAGCUUCCAUCGCGUAGUAGCUAACACCUCGCGACUGGAGAGCGGCGCGGCCACGCCGUAAAACACCCCAACUCUUCUGAAGUUGACCUCGAAUCAGGUAGGAAUACCCGCUGAACUUAAGCAUAUCAAUAAGCGGAGGAAAAGAAAACAAAGC